rnacentral:rRNA from 1 species
CAACGGCCGCGGUAUCAUGACCGUGCAAAGGUAGCGUAAUCACUUGUCUUUUAAAUAAAGACCUGUAUGAAAGGCAAAACGAAAGUUCAACUGUCUCUUUAAUCCAAUCAAUGAAAUUUAUCUUUUCGUGCAGAAGCGGAAAUAAACAUAUAAGACGAGAAGACCCUAUGGAGCUUUAAGCACACUAUUAACUACUAUAACAAUUUUAACCAACAGGCAAAAGAUCACAAACUACACAGCCGUAAUAUAAGCUUUAGGUUGGGGCGACCGCGGAGAAAAAAAAAUCCUCCGAGAUAAAUAAUUUAGAACAACACUUCGAAAAUUAAAACAUUUAUUAUAAAUGAUCCACUAAGUGACCAACGAACCAAGUUACCCUAGGGAUAACAGCGCAAUCCUUUCUAAGAGUCCAUAUCGACGAACGGGUUUACGACCUCGAUGUUGGAUCAGGACACCCAAAUGGUGCAGCCGCUAUUAAAGGUUCGUUUGUUCAACGAUUAAAGUCCUAC